rnacentral:rRNA from 1 species
GAUUUCUGGCUUGAAACAUUUUGCCGGCCACGGUUUCGUGUGUUAGUGCUUGAUGUUCUGGCCAUCCUUCCAAUCGCUAUUGGCUUUUCUUCAUUGAGGGGUCAGUGGUAUUGGAUCUUUUACUUUGAAAAAAUUAGAGUGUUUCAAGCAGGCUUUAUGCUAUGAAUACAUUAGCAUGGAAUAAUGAUUUAGGACUUCGGUUCUAUUUUGUUGGUUUCUAGGACUGAAGUAAUGAUUGAUAGGGAUAGUUGGGGGUGCUAGUAUUCAGCGGCCAGAGGUGAAAUUCUUGGAUUCGUUGAAGACUAACUUAUGCGAAAGCAUU